AGUUUAUUAAGUAUUAACUCACGUGAUCACAAGGCUCCACAAUAGACUGUCUGCAAGCUGAGGAGCAAGGAGUGCUAGUCCAAGUCCCCAAACUGAAAACUUAGAGUCCAAUGUUAGAGGGCAGAAAGCAUCCAGCAUGGCAGAAAG